rnacentral:rRNA from 1 species
UGGCCUACGGGGCGCAGCAGUGGGGAAUUUUGCGCAAUGGGGGAAACCCUGACGCAGCAACGCCGCGUGCGGGACGAAGGCCCUCGGGUUGUAAACCGCUUUCAGCAGGGAAGAUCCAAGACGGUACCUGCAGAAGAAGCUCCGGCUAACUACGUGCCAACAGCCGCGGUAAUACGUAGGGGGCGAGCGUUAUCCGGAUUCAUUGGGCGUAAAGCGAGCGUAGGCGGCCGCCGAAGAGGGAACUCUAACCACGGGGC